AACGAACGCUGGCGGCAUGCCUAACACAUGCAAGUCGAACGAGACCUUCGGGUCUAGUGGCGCACGGGUGCGUAACGCGUGGGAACCUGCCCUUAGGUUCGGAAUAACUCCCCGAAAGGGGUGCUAAUACCGGAUAAUGUCUUCGGACCAAAGAUUUAUCGCCUUUGGAUGGGCCCGCGUUGGAUUAGCUAGUUGGUAGGGUAAAAGCCUACCAAGGCGACGAUCCAUAGCUGGUCUGAGAGGAUGAUCAGCCACACUGGGACUGAGACACGGCCCAGACUCCGACGGGAGGCAGCAGUGGGGAAUAUUGGACAAUGGGCGAAAGCCUGAUCCAGCCAUGCCGCGUGAGUGAUGAAGGCCUUAGGGUUGUAAAGCUCUUUUACCCGGGAUGAUACUGACAGUACCGGGAGAAUAAGCUCCGGCUAACUCCGUG
rnacentral:rRNA from 1 species